CCUACGGGUGACAGCAGUGAGGAAUAUUGGUCAAUGGUCGGGAGACUGAACCAGCCAAGCCGCGUGAGGGAUGAAGGUACAGAGUAUCGUAAACCUCUUUUGUCAGGGAACAAAGGCGGGGACGCGUCCCCGGAUGAGUGUACCUGAAGAAAAAGCAUCGGCUAACUCCGUGCCAGCAGCCGCGGUAAUACGGAGGAUGCGAGCGUUAUCCGGAUUUAUUGGGUUUAAAGGGUGCGCAGGCGGUCUGUUAAGUCAGCGGUAAAAGCCCGGGGCUCAACCCCGGCCCGCCGUUGAAACUGGCAGUCUCGAGUUGGAGAGAAGUAGGCGGAAUGCGCGGUGUAGCGGUGAAAUGCAUAGAUAUCGCGCAGAACUCCGAUUGCGAAGGCAGCAUGCCGGCUCCACACUGACGCUGAGGCACGAAAGCGUGGGUAUCGAACAGGAUAAGAUACCCCUGUAGUC
rnacentral:rRNA from 1 species